rnacentral:rRNA from 1 species
AUUGAAUGCUGGCGGCAGGCUUAACACAUGCAAGUCGAGCGGGGUGAUGGUGCUUGCACUAUCACUUAGCGGCGGACGGGUGAGUAAUGCUUAGGAAUCUGCCUAUUAGUGGGGGACAACAUCUCGAAAGGGAUGCUAAUACCGCAUACGUCCUACGGGAGAAAGCAGGGGAUCACUUGUGACCUUGCGCUAAUAGAUGAUCCUAAGUCGGAUUAGCUAGUUGGUGGGGUAAAGGCCUACCAAGGCGACGAUCUGUAGCGGGCCUGAGAGGGCGAACCCCCACAUGGGGACUGAGAUACGGCCCUGACUCCUACGGGAGGCAGCAGUAGGGAAUCUUCCGCAAUGGACGAAAGUCUGACGGAGCGACACCGCGUGGAGGACGAAGGCCUUCGGGUUGUAAACUCCUUUUCCAGGGGAAGAAUAAGGGUAAGAGGAAAUGCUUAUCCGAUGACGGUACUCUGGGAAUAAGCCACGGCUAACUCUGUGCCAGCCGCCGCAGUAACAC